UUACGGCUCAGUAACACGUGGCUAACCUGCCCUUGGGAUGGGAACAACCCCGGGAAACUGGGGCUAAUUCUCAAUAGGUGAAGAACUCUGGAAUGAGUCUCCGCCCAAAAGACGCUUGCGCCAUGCUUGUAGGCGUCGCCCAAGGAUGGGGCCGCGACCGAUCAGGUUGUUGGUGAGGUAACGGCCCACCAAGCCUUUUACCGGUACGGGCCGCGGGAGCGGGAGCCCGGAGAUGGGCACUGAGACAAGGGCCCAGGCCCUACGGGGCGCAGCAGUCGCGCAAACUUUGCAAUACACGAAAGUGUGACAGGGCUAUCCCGAGUGCCGCCCGCUGAGGGUGGCUUUUGCCCAGUAUAGCAAGCUGGGAGAAUAAGGAGAGGGCAAGUCUGGUGUCAGCCGCCGCGGUAAUACCAGCUCUUCGAGUGGUGUGGAUGUUUAUUGGGUCUAAAGCAUCCGUAGCUUGCUGAGUGAGUCCCCUGUUAAAUCCAGCAAAUUAAUUGUUGGUGUGCGGGGGAUACUGCUCAGCUAGGGGACGAGAGAGGCAGACGGUAUUUUCGGGGUAGGGGUGAAAUCCUAUAAUCCCGAGAAGACCACCAGUGGCGAAGGCUGUCUGCUAGAACGCGCCCGACGGUGAGGGAUGAAAGCUGGGGGAGCGAACCGGAUUAGAUACCCGGGUAGUCCCAGCUGUAAACUAUGCAGGCUAG
rnacentral:rRNA from 1 species